rnacentral:piRNA from 1 species
UCCCUAUCGUUGGGGAUGCUCUCCAAGC